AUUCAGUUUCGCACCCCAAUGUAAUUAGAUCCUUAAGUCUAACAAAAUGCCUAAUUCAUGAACGAACCCUAAUUUUCCUUUGGUCUUCCUUCUCUUCGAUUCUUCUUCUCUCCCUAACGUUUUUUUUAUCUUUCAACCCACUUCUCCACUUCCUGCUACAAUCUUAGUUGUGGUUAAUCCCAUUCAAUGGCUUCUUUUCAUCUUCCUCUUUGUGUCUUUCUUUACAAAAAUCUAUUUUGGGAUUGGAAGGGAUAAAAAAAGGAGUUAACAACAGAAGCUUGUGCGUUGAUUCACAAAGGAAGGAAGAAUCGGAUUCAGGUUUCCAACACUAAGAAACCUUCAUUCUUCUACGACAAUCUCGCCAAGAAAACAGAGAAGAAGAACACUGUGAAGUAUUAUCAAUGGAGAAAGAGAUUUACAGAAGACAUCUUUCAAGAGAAGAGAUAUGAUGUGUUUGGAUGUUUAUGAACAUCAUGUUUGAUUUCAGACAUGGUGGAUCUAUCCAUAAGCUUUUGAUGGAUAAGAAACGUGGAAGCAAAAAAAUAAUAGGUUUCAGUUUCCUUUUUUUUUCUUUUGGGACAUCAUUAGGAAAAUGUGUCUGAAACAGAAAAAAAUGGAUUCUCAUUUUGUUGGUUAAUGUAACAAUGCAGGUGUUAAGACUAAGGUGGAGAAGCAGCUUACCUGUGACUGCUACUUUGAGGAGAGUGAAGCUGAAAUGCAGUGUGUCAAUAACCUCACUGAAUAGGAGGAGACUGAGCAAAAAUGUGAUACUGAAAGACAAAGGAGAAGAAGAGAAGCAGAACAUGCAGCAAAACCAACAGUGAGGAUGUUAAUGACCAUGCAGACAAGAAACCAGAUGAUCAUCAGAGCGAUGCUGACUCAGUAGAUGAUGACUCAAAAGAGAAGUUCAGUGAGUUGAUAAAGCGGUUGAUAGCUCAGACUCAGAAGGACAGCGACAAGGUAGAGAACUGCAAGAGCCUUGUGGAUGCAUCUCAGUUCUUGGAUUCUAAACAAGGAUCAUUCUGGGACAUUGGUACUUCACCAGUUUCAGGAGAUUCUCAGAGAAUCAAAGAGACACAAAAUUCUACAGCAUUGCUACUACCAGAUGAUUCCAUUAGAGAUGGAUCUUAAUCCGCCUCCUCCACUGACUGAUUUUCUCGAGGAAGUUUAAUCCUUCGCGCCGUGAAGCCUACGGUCACCAGAAAUACUCAGAUGAGGGGCGGGAGGUGAGCGAUGAAGAUGGCUACAUGAGAGGAUCAGAUGCAAGGAUUGAGUGGGAGAGAAGAGAAGAUUAUUGUUUCUGUUAGUUUGAAGCCAGUAAGUGAGAAAGAUAGGCAUAGCGGAUUGGGAGUGUAUCAAUGAUGAAAUAGUCCAACACAGGAGCCAUCUUUCCAUUUCUGAGCGUUCCAUGUACCCCACAGCAUAUAAGUUUGAUCCAUACACACGUAUCAAAACUGGCAAAGGGAUCAGAGUGGGUGUGGUCCAAACAAAGAUCAACAUCGUUACUUAGUCUUUGAAGAGAAAAAAUAUUAAUUAUUACAUUUUCCUUAUAUUGUUAUUUAAUAAUUUUGUAUCUAAUAAAAAAAUACGAGUGGUGUUUUCAAUUCACACCAACAAAGUUUAAUAAAAUUUA